GGGUGGAGGCAGAGUAAAGACUGAGGGAGUGGGGGGGAAUGACCAUAGGGGGAACAGCCGGCUGACUAAAGGACCAUUGAGACAGAGGGGGAAUGACCAUAGGGGGAACAGCCGGCUGACUAAAGGACCAUUGAGACAGAGGGGGGAAUGACCAUAGGGGGAACAGCCGGCUGACUAAAGGACCAUUCAGAGGGAGGGGGGACCAAGUGAAAUAAAAUAAUAAAGCUAGCAAUAUAUCAUAUACAUAUUAACAACUGCAACAGUGAUGAAUGUCAUUGGGGUGGGUGCAGACUGAGGAGCAGCAUGUAUGGUAAGAGGGGGGGGGGAGUAGCAGGUAUGGUAAGAGGGGGGAGUAGCAGGUAUGGUAAGAGGGGGGAGUAGCAGGUAUGGUAAGAAGGGGGAGUAGCAGGUAUGGUAAGAGGGGGGAGUAGCAGGUAUGGUAAGAGGGGGGUGGGGGGGAAUGUCCAAUAGGACUCAUCUCAUACUUAGGCAAUUUCUGAGGUCUGAAAAAAGUAGAUUUUGGAGUGAGCCAUCAUUGUUUCUUUGUCAGGAAGACUUUGGGAGUUUGUGUGGACCAAGAUAGUUUGUGUGGACCCUGAAAGCGUGAUGAUACAGGGUGUCUGAGAUCGCAACGCUGUGCGUGGGCCUGGUGGGUCUGAUGGGAGGUGACAGCCUUCAUCAGAGAGAACAUCAUCGUCACGGAGACGCUCUGGGACGGCCUGUGGACGAACUGCUGUAGACAAGCCAACAUUAGAUGCAGUGUAAGGUGUACGACUCCCUGCUGUUCCUCCCUGUGGACCUGCAGGUAUGGUUACAGUAUGAUUAUGUCCCAAAUGGCACCCUAUUCUCUAUAUAAUGCACUACUUUUG
rnacentral:lncRNA from 1 species